UCUGGUGGUCAUAGCGUCGGGGAAACGCCCGUUCCCAUCCCGAACACGGAAGCUAAGCCCGAUACGCCGAUGGUACUAAUGGGGAAGCCCGUUGGAAGAGUAGGUCGCUGCCAGGG
rnacentral:rRNA from 1 species